rnacentral:rRNA from 1 species
UGCGUAGGCGGAUUAAUAAGUCAGUGGUGAAAUCUCUCGGCUCAACCGGGAAACUGCCAUUGAUACUGUUAAUCUUGAGUUCGGUUGAGGUAGGCGGAAUGUGUAAUGUAGCGGUGAAAUGCUUAGAUAUUACACAGAACACCAAUUGCGUAGGCAGCUUACUAGACCGACACUGACGCUGAGGAACGAAAGCGUGGGGAGCGAACAGGAUUAGAUACCCUGGUAGUCC